GAAUUUGCACUUUGAAUUUAGUUUUUUUUCUUUACAACAAUUAAAAAAAGAAAACACAUCUCUCUUACUGUGUGUGUGUGUGUUCGAUAAACACCCAAGAACAUAUUCAUAGAUUCAAGAACAUCUUUUGCUGCCACAACUAUUCGACCGCCUUCCACCACCACCACCACCACCGUUUUCCACUUCUAUCUCCAUCCAAACUUCAUCUGCCACUUCAUCUCAGCCAAAAAAAUUAUCCCAUAAACAAAACAUACACAAAAUUUGGGUUUGUUCUCUUAAGUUGAUGAAUACACACACAUGAAAUUAUAUCUCAUGGACACACACACACACACACAAAAUCAUUUAUGAUGAACACAUACACAAAAUCAGAUCAGACGUACACACACAUACACAUGCAAUUAGAUGAACACACACACACACAAAAAAAAAAUCAGAUCAGAUGUACACACACGAAAUCUUAUGAAAACACACACACGAAAUCAGAUGAAGACAUACAUACACACACGAUGAACAGACACACACACACACACACACACGAAAUCAGAUGAACAUACACACACACACACCCUAAGUAAACCAGAACGGACAAGAAGCAGAUCUACGUCGCCACUUUCUCAGAUCUAUGUCGUCGGCCCCCUUUCUCAGAUCUAUGUCGUUGCCCUUUUCGACGACUCAUUCUUAAUCGACUCCGGUAGCAAAAAUCACAGGUCCCUUCACUCUCGUUUAUCCUGAAUAGAUCAAGCUCUAAUCGAUCACAAUCCUUCUUUCUUCUCUAGUCUAUCGCAAUCCCUCCCAGGUCCUGACUCGCUCUUAAUCAACUCAGGCAACAAAAAUCACACCAGAUUCGCCCCUUCGUCUUUUCUAAUCGAUCAUAAUCUUUCCUCUUCUCUCGAAUUCGAAAUCAUGUAAGUGUUGCUGGGUUUUUCAAAGGUGAACGGUUUUUGGGUUAAAUCAAAGCAUAUGAUGAUGAGGGCAGUUCAUCAUAUCUAAAAAAACAAGUAGUUCUUGUUCUUGAAAUCAGGAAAAAAUAAGUGUUUUUGAGAUCUGGAAAAUCGACUAGAUCCAAGACUAAAUCCACAAUGAAGAAUUUAGAUUUGUGGUUCUUGGUUUCAUGCUUUUUACUUAAGAACACAUCUUUUUUUUUUUUUGAACUAACAGACCCAUAAAUCUGUAUAUAUAUAGAGAGAGAGAGAGGGAGGGUGAUAUUUUCU
rnacentral:lncRNA from 1 species